GGUGGCUCAGUGGUAGAGCACUUGUCUUGCAUGCAUGAGGACCUGGGUUCGAUUCCCCAGCACCA
rnacentral:tRNA from 1 species